UAAAUCAUAUAUAUAUAUAUAUCUUAUAUAUGAGUAAAUGGUUAUGGACUCCACCUCAUUGACUCGUCCUAGGCCCCUUUUAUAGGAAGCUCCUUACCCUUGAAGCACAACACGGUUUGACACUUUGAAAUAGCAUCACCUAUAGAAGAAAAGACCUUACAGAUAUAACAUCAUGGGAAAAGUGAAGAUUUUUCUAGGAAUAAUUUUCUUCAUGCUGUGUAUCAAUAACUGCUUUUCACAAAAUACUCUGUCACGUGAGUAUAUGAGUUAUUUCACUUGCCUGGUAUUGUUUAAAGGGACAGUCAACACCAGAAUUUUUGUUGUUUUAAAAGAUAGAUAAUCCCUUAAUUACCAAUUCCUCAGUUUUGCAUAACCAACACAGUAAUAAUUAUAUACGUUUUACCUCUGUAAUUACCUUGUACCUUAGCCUCAGCAGACUGCCUCUUAUUUCAGUUCUUUUGACAGACUUGCAUUUUAGCCAAUCAGAGCUGUCUCCAUGGUAAAUUCACGUGCAUGAGCUCAAUGUUAUCUAUAUGAAACACAUGAACUAAUGCCCUCUAGUGGUGAAAAACUAUCAAAAUGCAUUUAGAUUAGAGGCGGCCUUCAAGGUCUAAGAAAUUAGCAUAUGAACCUCCUAGGUUUAACUUUCAACUAAGAAUACCAAGAGAACAAAGCUAAAUUGGUGAUAAAAGUAAAUUGGAAAGUUGUUUAAAAUGACAUGCCCUAUUUGAAACAUGAAAGUUUUUUUUGGACUUGACUGUCCCUUUAAGUAUAAAUGUUCCUGUUGUGAAUUAAUCAUUUGAAGAAUAUCUAGCAUGUUUUUUUAUGAAAACGUUUAAAUCUUUAAUUUAUAAUCAAAUAAAAUAGUUAGUUUAAAGGGACAUUCUACUCAGCAUAAUUUUGUAUUUACCCCUGCCACAUAUUUAAGAAAGAAAAGGUUUUAUGAAGCAUACUUUGAGUUUCCUUUAUUUAAGAUCAAGUAGUUUCCAUUCAGCUACUUUUUUUUAUUACAUACUAGUACUAAAGGCCGUGUACACGGGCCAUUUUUUGCAGUACAGCGGUCCCACCCCUUGCUCUCUCCCCCCUCUCUUUUGCUCUCUCUUCCCCCCUCUCUUUUGCUUUCUCUCCCCCCUCUCCUUUGCUCUCUCUCUCCCCUCUUUUGCUUUCUCUCCCCCCUCUCCUUUGCUCUCUCUCUCCCCUCUUUUGCUCUCCCCCCACCCUCUUUGGCUCU